UACAGAGGGGGCAAGCGUUGUUCGGAAUUACUGGGCGUAAAGGGCGCGUAGGCGGCCUGCUAAGUCGAACGUGAAAUCCCCGGGCUCAACCCGGGAACUGCGUCCGAUACUGGUGGGCUUGAAUCCGGGAGAGGGAUGUGGAAUUCCAGGUGUAGCGGUGAAAUGCGUAGAUAUCUGGAGGAACACCGGUGGCGAAGGCGGCAUCCUGGACCGGUAUUGACGCUGAGGCGCGAAAGCUAGGGGAGCAAACGGG
rnacentral:rRNA from 1 species